rfam:Ictidomys tridecemlineatus contig070384, whole genome shotgun sequence.
GGGAUUGUAGCUCAGUGGCAGAGCACUUGCCUCCCAAGUAUGAGACACUGGGUUCAAUCCUCAGCACCA